rnacentral:rRNA from 1 species
UACGUAGGUGGCAAGCGUUGUCCGGAAUUAUUGGGCGUAAAGCGCGCGCAGGCGGUCCUUUAAGUCAGAUGUGAAAGCCCUCGGCUCAACUGGGGAAGUGCAUCUGAAACUGGGCAGCUAGAGUACUAAAGAGGGUCGCGGAAUUCCCGGUGUAGAGGUGAAAUUCGUAGAUAUCGGGAGGAACACCGGUGGCGAAGGCGGCGACCUGGGUAGAUACUGACGCUGAGGCGCGAAAGCGUGGGGAGCAAACAGG